rnacentral:rRNA from 1 species
AGCUCCAAUAGCGUAUAUUAAAGUUGUUGCAGUUAAAAAGCUCGUAGUCGGAUUUUGGCAUCACGCCGAACUGUCUGCCGAUUGGUAAGUACGGUUUGGCGGGUGCUUCCUUCCGGAGGCUCGUUCCCUUCUUCAUUGAAGGGUUCGUUGGUUCCGGGUCUUUUACUUUGAGAAAAUUAGAGUGUUCAAAGCAGGCCUAUGCUCUGAAUAGGUUAGCAUGGAAUAAUAGAAUAGGACUUUGGUUCUAUUUUGUUGGUUUCUAGGACCGAAGUAAUGAUUAAUAGGGACAGUUGGGGGCAUUCAUAUUCCAUUGUCAGAGGUGAAAUUCUUGGAUUAACGGAAGAUGAACUUCUGCGAAAGCAUCUGCCAAGGAUGUUUUCAUUG